rnacentral:misc_RNA from 1 species
CAGAGUUGCAAAACUCCCAACCCUUUGUGAACGAUCUUGUUAGUUGCCUCGGCGGGAAGCCCCUCAGGGGAGCCGACCGCCGGUGGACUGCAAACUCUUUUAAUUUACCAUUCUGAUUACUUAUUCAAUAAGUUA